AGGAUAAUAGUUAAAAUUUAAUUUUUGAUCUGCAAUCAAAAGAUAUUGAUUAUAUAUAUCAAUUUAUCUUA
rnacentral:tRNA from 1 species